rnacentral:rRNA from 1 species
AGAGUUUGAUUAUGGCUCAGGAUGAACGCUGGCGGCGUGCCUAACACAUGCAAGUCGAACGAAGUUAUAUCGAGGAAGUUUUCGGAUGGAAUCAGUAUAACUUAGUGGCGGACGGGUGAGUAACGCGUGGGAAACCUGCCCUGUACCGGGGGAUAACACUUAGAAAUAGGUGCUAAUACCGCAUAAGCGCACAGCUUCACAUGAAGCAGUGUGAAAAACUCCGGUGGUACAGGAUGGUCCCGCGUCUGAUUAGCCAGUUGGCAGGGUAACGGCCUACCAAAGCGACGAUCAGUAGCCGGCCUGAGAGGGUGAACGGCCACAUUGGGACUGAGACACGGCCCAA